CUGUCCCUGCAGUGCGAGCCCGCCACCAACACGCUACCAAAAAACCCCGGAGACAAACGAUCUGGAAAAUCCGAAACGUCGCCGGUGGCUCCCCGGGCAGGACUCCAGCAGAAGGUGCAGCAGCAGCAGCAGCA